UGGGGCAUCUUCUCGAUAUAUGCA
rnacentral:misc_RNA from 1 species